UGCAGCGCGUUUUCCCUCCCUAAAUUUUAGCUUCCUCCCCAAAUUUCAGUUCCCUCCUCCCCCAAUUUUUGACUUCCUUCUUCAAUUGAAACCCACCAGAAAAGAAAAGAUGUUUCAUUCACUCAAAUUGUACUCGUCUCACCUCUUCCUCUUCUUCCCAAUAUCAUUUGUUGCUCUCUCUCUCUCUCUCUCUCUCUCUCUCUCUCUCUCUCUCUCUCUCUCUCUCUCUCAUAAUCACUUCCCCCACGGCUUUUAGCACGCGCUCAACGAUCUUGUUUCUGUUCUCUCUCAUGUUUUAAGCUUCAAUCUUUCAGCUUGCAUGUCGCAGAUCUUGAAUGUUUUAUAUGAUUACAUCUGAUGGAAUAUUGUUUGUGUGUUUUUUUUUUGAGAAAUUUGGGGGUUUUGUUGUGCUUGGGAAUGUAUGUUGCUUUUGCUGGAAAAGAGCGGAGCUUCACCAAAUUUCAGUCAAAUCUGGCCACUUCAACAGCAGAUCUACUAAUAAGUUUGGUUCUUUCAGCUUCCUCUAAACCCCAGCAAGAAAUUUGAGCAAAUCACAAAGGAACAGGGAUGGACUCUUUUACAAGAUACUAAUUGCUUCAACUCAUUGGAAUGCCUAUGAACAAGCCUUCUAAGCAUACCAUGUUUUAGCCAAGAUGGUAACAUGGGUUGCCUAUGCUGCAGGGAAUUGGAUUGCAAGAGUUCUUGCGCGAAAGGCAAAGAACCAGUAUUCUUGGAAAGGAUAUGGGGCAAUCUCUAAUGCUAUACAGGAGCUUCAGCAAUGCGGAAGCUAGCUAUUACGUUCUGCAAAGUUAGCUAUAGAGAAAAGGCAAGCUCAAGGAUGUAAUGAAACCUAUAUACAAGGAUUACUAUUGUUAGCAACUUGGAGGUUGAGGCCUCUCAUGAGUUCCUUGCUGAACUCUAACCAAGUUGGUACAAGUGGGCAAAUGUCUGACAGCAUUUUCAUUGCUCAUAGAAGAUCAAAAGGUAUUACAAGACCACAGUCAUGAAGUCUGGUUUGUUCAAUUUCACACAAUGAGAAAUUCUUGGCUGGAUCAUCAAGUGUUAAAUCAGCUAUUAUAUUAGAGGUAUAACUUUUGCUCUACCUAUGUAUGUCGCUCCAAUAUGUAAUGAGAGCAAAGAGCGGCUUGGAACCAAUGGUAGCUUUGCUACAGCUUGUUUCUCUAUAUCGAAGGUCUAUUUAGCAGAGGUAGCUAAUGCAGUCAUGCAUAUUCUGUUGGAGUUUGAGCUCCUUGAACUAGUCACACUUCCAGGGAACUAUAUCUUUCUUUUUAUGUUUGUUUCAUUGAUGCUGGUUUCUUAAGUGUCUUGCUCUUUUGAUUUUUUGUUUUGUUU